AGAGUUUGAUCAUGGCUCAGAUUGAACGCUGGCGGCAGGCCUAACACGUGCAAGUCGAACGGUAACAGGAUUAGCUUGCUAAUCGCUGACGAGUGGCGGACGGGUGAGUAAUGCUUGGGAACUUGCCUUUGCGAGGGGGAUAACAGUUGGAAACGACUGCUAAUACCGCAUAAUGUCUACGGACCAAACGGGGCUUCGGCUCCGGCGCAAAGAGAGGCCCAAGUGAGAUUAGCUAGUUGGUAAGGUAAAGGCUUACCAAGGCAACGAUCUCUAGCUGUUCUGAGAGGAAGAUCAGCCACACUGGAACUGAGACACGGUCCAGACUCCUACGGGAGGCAGCAGUGGGGAAUAUUGCACAAUGGGGGAAACCCUGAUGCAACCAUGCCGCGUGUGUUAAAGAA
rnacentral:rRNA from 1 species